CUGGUACAUUCUUCCGAGGAGAAAUAUGAAACUGAACAAAGCGAAUAUAACACAGCACUUUGUGCGAAGACAUCUUAUUGCUAGACAUAGCUGUUCUACAACUCUAUUAAAAAUAACACAGGAUAUUUGUAGACAAAUUAAUCAAGGUAAUUAUUACUUAUUAUGGUACAAUUCUUGUUUUGAUUUCAGGUAUGCUUUCAGGCUCGUCAAUCAUUCUAUUCUCUUGUCAAAACUUGUCUCUCAAUUCAAAUUUAAUUCCUAAUGAUGUAAUUGUAACUUGUGUCUAAACAAUAAGGAAUUAAUGUGAUCACUCACCUUUCUGGAAGCAGAUGAUCGAGCAACACAAUGCCCCAACCAACUCCUAUGCAGCUUCAGAGAAAAGGAUAAUGAAAAAAUAAUUAUUAUUUAGGGAAGCCUAACUUUUGUGAUGUUGCUUAAUGAUUGGCUCCUUACUAUCUAUAAUACUAGUUUCUAUUAAUGUCCUAGCCCUGCCAGCUAACUAUUCUAUGAUAUUCAUCUCCAAAAUCUCAUUGAAUUAGUUCUGUUUCAAUUUCAAGGUUAAUCAUUUUAAUUUCUAUAUUAUUACAUUAUAUCUACAGGUUUUCAAUUUUUUAUAAUUGUGCUUUAAUUGCUGCUGUUUACAUAAGUAAUUGAAUGAAUAAAUAAUGAAAUAAAACUAUUGUUGUUUUGUUAGAAUUCAGGGCCACUGACAUUUGAACUAAGAUUUACGGUGAUGACUCGUGUCAACAUUCUAACUGUUGUGCCAACAAAGAAGGGGCCAUUAAAGAGUGCAAUUCACACAUUAUAUAAAAACCAUCAUUCUGCAAAUGGCAAUACUGGAAAAAACAUGGGAACACAAUUCCUUGACAGCAUUUUUUUUAUUACUAAAAGUUGACAUAUUGGGUAAUAUGUAAAUAUGCUACAUAAAUGACUUUUUCUACUAUUUGAAGAAAAUUUAAUAUCUGAUCUAGCUCCAGAUAACUAAAUAAUCUUAAAUAGGAAUUACAAAUUCAACAAAAAUGUCCACAUUGUAAACAAAAAUAAAAAUAUCUUUUAAAUUUUAUUACAGAUAGUACUGACUUUCAAUAUUAACAUUAUGUUAAUGUGGUUAAGUUUUACAACAAUGUAAAAGCAAACAACUGUUUUGGGAAUGAGAAUUUUUCUUGAUUCAACCAGCGCAAAAGUUAAGACAAUCAUCAAUUUAAAGUCAGACUAAUCACAUUCCCUGAGAACAAUUUUGUUUCUAUACUUGUCAUCCUUUGUUUUUAAC